AGACAGUCCAACCAGGCUGGCGGGUCAACUCCUCCCGUUGACUCAGAGGAGCUGCCCAUCUCCUCCGGACUCUGAGCCUCACUAGAUGAUUCUUACUGACCAUCUCAGAUCGUUUUCUGCUGUUGUGGAUUAGAAGCAGGCUGAAAGUGGGACCUCUGCUGGAUCCCAUGUAAACCCAACACCCAGCUUAAAGUCUAAGGUCUAAUGGUGAUGCUUGGCCCCCACCUUCACCACCACCUGUCACCCUCAAUGCUGCAGCAAGAGGAGGACAAUGGGAAGAUCCCCAGUGGUCUCCUCGGCCCAAGAAGUAGUGGGGCUCCUGCCACCUGUGGACCACGAUGAUGUCAUCAAGCUCACUCCAACCAAAUGGGAGAGAAAGUGGCCUUCUUCCCUCUGGAUGCGGUGGGACUUGUUCUCAGCUGCUUCAUCCAAAGAUGUACAAGAGCUUCACCAGGCUCCAGCUCUCUGCUGGGAUCUGGCUGUGAGACAAGGCGACGACAGUGAAGGAGGUUGGUUCGUGACCAUGCUACCUCAGGACCAUCGGGGGACCGCAGUGCAUUCCGGAGGACAUGGGGACAGAUUCACAGACAGCGCCAUAACAGACUGGAAAACUGCUGGGGUUACUGUUUUCAUCAGUCUUGCCCCUCCCAUCUGUGCCCGGCCAUCACUGAGCAGAGGAAUGAAGGCUGCUGCUGAGUCAAACAGGAUGCCACCAGCAGCUGGAGGUCCAGAUGCAGGAGACAGGAGGAGGGGGUUCUGAAUGAUUGGCCAGUUGUCAGGACAGCAGCCGAGGUGGUUGGAGGUCCAGUGGCACGGUGGGAAGGCUGAG
rnacentral:lncRNA from 1 species